UACGUAGGGUCCGAGCGUUGUCCGGAAUUAUUGGGCGUAAAGAGCUCGUAGGCGGUCUGUUGCGUCGGCUGUGAAAACCCGAGGCUCAACCUCGGGCCUGCAGCCGAUACGGGCAGACUAGAGUUCGGCAGGGGAGACUGGAAUUCCUGGUGUAGCGGUGAAAUGCGCAGAUAUCAGGAGGGAACACCGGUGGGCGAAGGCGGGUCUCUGGGCCGAUACUGA
rnacentral:rRNA from 1 species